rnacentral:rRNA from 1 species
CCCUAAACCAAGAUUUUUAACAUACAUAAAGGUCCGCCAGAGAAACUACCAAUCAAACAUUUGAAACUCAAGGGACUUGACGGUGUCUCAACCCACCUAGAGGAGCCUGUUCUAUAAUCGAUAAUCCACGAUUCACCUCACCAUCUCUUGCCCUCAGCCUAUAUACCUCCGUCUACAGUUUACCUUAUGAAAGUAUAAAAGUAAACACAAUAGUUAACACAAAACUAAUAAGUCAGGUCAAGGUGUAGCCUAUUGAGAUGGAAGAAAUGGGCUACAUUUUCUACUAUAGAAAUAUUUAACGGAAAACCCCUUGAAAUUUAUGGGUUUAUAAAGCAGGAUUUAGUAGUAAUGUAAGAACAGAGAGCCUACAUUAACCAGGAUCUGAGAC